rnacentral:rRNA from 1 species
UACGAAGGGGACUAGCGUUGUUCGGAAUCACUGGGCGUAAAGCGCACGUAGGCGGAUUUGUAAGUCAGGGGUGGAAAUCCCGGGGCUCAACCUCGGAACUGCCUUUGAUACUGCGAAUCUCGAGUCCGAUAGAGGUGGGUGGAAUUCCUAGUGUAGGAGGUGAAAUUCGUAGAUAUUAGGAAGAACACCGGUGGCGAAGGCGGCCCACUGGAUCGGUACUGACGCUGAGGUGCGAAAGCGUGGGGAGCAAACAGG